rnacentral:rRNA from 1 species
UGGUGGAGUGAUUUGUCUUGUUAAUUCAGUUAACGAACGAGACCUCGCCCUGCUAAAUAGUCCCUGGAAUGUCGUAAUAGACUUCCAAACUGCAAAGUUAUGGGUGACUUCUUAGAGGGACUAUCGGUGUGUAGCCGAUGGAAGUUCGAGGCAAUAACA